CACUUCUAAGGAAGGCAGCAGGCGCGCAAAUUACCCAAUCCUGACUCAGGGAGGUAGUGACAAGAAAUAACAAUAAACCGGCUUAUGCCGGUUUAAUUGGAAUGAGUACAAUUUAAACAUCUUAACGAGGAACAAUUGGAGGGCAAGUCUGGUGCCAGCAGCCGCGGUAAUUCCAGCUCCAAUAGCGUAUACUAAAGUUGUUGCAGUUAAAAAGCUCGUAGUUGGAUUUCUGUGGGGACGGAGCGGCCGGCCGCAACUCGCGGUUCGAGCUAGCGCUUUCCCUACAUCCUGCCGCGAACCGUGCUACCAUUAGUUUGGUGGCGCCGGGGAUCGGCUCGAUUACUUUGAGAAAAAUAGAGUGUUCAAAGCAGGCCACACGCCUUGAAUAAGUUAGCAUGGAAUAAUAACUAAGGACUUCGGUUCUAUUUUGUUGGUGUUCGGGACUGAAGUAAUGAUUGAUAGGGACAGUUGGGGCGGUCUGUAUUCCAAAGCGAGAGGUGAAAUUCUUAGACCUUCGGAAGACAAACAGCUGCGAAAGCGUUCCGCAAGGAUGUUCCCUUUGAUCAAGAACGAAAGUUGGGGGAUCGAAGACGAUCAGAUACCGUCGUAGUCUCAACUAUAAACUAUACCAGCUAGGGAUCGGCCAACGUUAUUUCAAACCGACUUGGUCGGCACCUUAUGAGAAAUCAAAGCAUCUGGGUUCCGGGGGGAGUAUGGUCGCAAGGCUGAAACUUAAAGGAAUUGACGGAAGGGCACCACCAGCCGUGGAGCCUGUGGCUUAAUUUGACUCAACACGGGAAAACCUACCAGGUCCAGACAUAGUAAGGAUUGACAGAUUGAUAGCUCUUUCUUGAUUCUGUGGGUGGUGGUGCAUGGCCGUUCUUAGUUGGUGGAGUGAUUUGUCUGGUUAAUUCCGUUAACGAACGAGACCCCAGCCUGCUAAAUAGCGCGCGUGAGCUUUGCUCGCGGCGAGCUUCUUAGAGGGACUCUGAUGCGCGAUAGCACAUGGAAGUUUGGGGCAAUAACAGGUCUGUGAUGCCCUUAGAUGUUCUGGGCCGCACACGGGCUACACUGGCGCCUGCAUCGAGCAUAUCAGCUGGCCCGAGAGGGUCUUGGCUAAUCUUUUGAACCGGCGCCGUGCUUGGGAUUGACCUUUGCAAUUGUUGGUCAUGCAACGAGGAAUGCCUUGUAAACGCGAGUCAUCAGCUCGCAUUGAAUACGUCCCUGCCCUUUGUACACACCGCCCGUCGCUCCUACCGAUGAAUGUUCCGAUGAAAUUUUCGGAGAGCACCUGUGAACUUGGCUCUGCCUUGCGAACGGGAGGCUCAAAGUCACUUAAAUCUGAACAUUUCGAGG
rnacentral:rRNA from 1 species